CUACGUGCCAGCAGCCGCGGUAAUACGGAAGGUUCGGGCGUUAUCCGGAUUUAUUGGGUUUAAAGGGAGCGUAGGCCGGAGAUUAAGUGUGUUGUGAAAUGUAGACGCUCAACGUCUGACUUGCAGCGCAUACUGGUUUCCUUGAGUACGCACAACGUUGGCGGAAUUCGUCGUGUAGCGGUGAAAUGCUUAGAUAUGACGAAGAACUCCGAUUGCGAAGGCAGCUGACGGGAGCGCAACUGACGCUGAAGCUCGAAGGUGCGGGUAUCGAACAGGAUUAGAUACCCUGGUAGUCCGCACAGUAAACGAUGGAUGCCCGCUGUUGGUACUUGGUAUCAGCGGCUAAGCGAAAGCAUUAAGCAUCCCACCUGGGGAGUACGCCGGCAACGGUGAAACUCAAAGGAAUUGACGGGGGCCCGCACAAGCGGAGGAACAUGUGGUUUAAUUCGAUGAUACGCGAGGAACCUUACCCGGGCUUGAAUUGCAGACGAACGAUUCAGAGAUGAUGAGG
rnacentral:rRNA from 1 species